ensembl:lncRNA
AACGACGCUAGUGGAGCAGGCACAUGGCUCCCCUCUGACCCAGUGGUGCCCUGCCUGCUUAUUAUGGGAUGUGGUUUCUUAGGGUGAUGAGGCGGAGGUUUCCUAGAUGAAAGGAAUGGGGACUGUAUAACGCGGAGGGAUGCAAUGCAAGUUUCGUGUCAUCUUGGCUGGACCCUUUCAAGGUCUGUCUGACAAAGGGAUAGAAGAAAUGGUCUUGAAAUGCACAUGUAAAAGUGUCCCACCUACACUUGGAUGACAGCCCAGCUCCACUGGUCACCCUCUGCAUGGCCUGGACUGGGACUAUGGCUGUGUGGGCCGGAAGAGCUGGAUUCUCGCUCCGCCUUAUCCCUUAUUUGCUGUGUGCACCUGUUCUACCUGAGCCUCAACUUUCUCAUUUGCAAACUGGAGAACCACCAGCCUUGACUCUUGGAGUGUAACCUUGGACGUUAAGUGAAGUGCUGUCUGUGAAGGAGUUUGUCAGAGCAAAGGAGAAAGCUCCACGGGCCUUUGCAAACAGCUGCUUCCCCAAGGCAAAGGAGGAAAAUGCUAAGCUUUUCUGUAAGGUGAAGGCUUGACAGAAAUAGUAAAACAAGAGGCGAGAGCUAUAAAAGGACUUUCAUGAAGUUCUGUGCGAGAGCAGAGUGGGUGCUGGGGGUCCCUGAGACUGAUGCUUCCGGAAGACCCACUGAGCCUGGCACUUGAGGCUUUGUAGCAGCCUGCACUCUUCCAACAAGCCUAGAAGUGUUUUAAGAACAAAAGAUGUGAUGUGGAAGCAACAUGAAUUAACUCUGCCUGGGGCAUCCUCUGAAAUGACCAUGUGACACGGGUGUUCAGCCUUGAAGGAUAGGCAGCACAUUUCUGUUUCAACUACAGGAAAAACAAGAACGAUCUGGGACAGAGAAGGGCUGGUAUCCCAGCUCAUUUGGGCUCAUGGGGCUGGAUAACCAGGUGCCUGCGGUGGGCAGCGGAAUAAAGAUG